CUGAAAAACAACAAAAAAAAAGCUCCAAGUAUAUUUCCUUUUUGUGUUGCUUCUUCCAACCACAUUGCGAUUAGUUUGCGCUUAAUUGCCAGCCACAACAGUUCUUCGUGUUUAUCUGCUCUUUGCCUAUUUAUGACGAGCACCGUUUUGCGGCAAAUUUGAAUCAAGUGUGGCAAAUUUGAAGACAAGAACAACAACAGCACCGGCCACCGCCUACGUCUGCGCCGCCCACUCAGCAGCUGUUCAAAGAGUUGUGUGCGCUCUCUUUUGUUUUAAUGAGAGAGGUGGAGGGUGAGUGAAAGAGAGCGCGAACGAGGCUAUUUUGUGUGUCAUAAUUUAAAAAUACAAAUAAAAGCUGCAGAAACGAUAGACUGCUAACGUGUGACCAAUGCGACUUUGGGCUUUCUGGGCAUAGCGUUAAAGAGGAGUUAAACGUAAACAAAAAAAGUUCUCCAGACAGUUUCCAUUUGGCUGAGCUUUUUUGACAGCUUGAGGCUGCGACUUUUUUCAUAUAAAAAACAUUCCAAUUGGAUAUGUUCACCUGCAGCUCCAGGCCCUUUUAAACCCUGUAUUGCGGCACAACAAAUUACGUAUCAUACACAAAUCUGUUCGCACACACAUAAAAUGUAUGUAUUUACCAAGUGGCCGCUGUGUAUAUUCCAAAGAAUCGCCAAGAAUAUUCGAAAAUAAUCAAGCGAGCAAACAGAAACAGAAGCAAAAAAAAUGAAACCAUGAAAAAUCAAAAACACAGGCUAAACCAAAGGCAAAACGAUGGCUAGUAAAAUACAAAUAAUAAAGAGAAACUGAAAUUUUCCGAACCAACCGUGAAAAUGUUCCUACGAAAAGGAAAAUUCUUCUUAGGGGGCCUUGGACUUUGCCUAAUUUGCACAUGAUUUUCUGCCUCUGUAAAUGUAAAUGGGUGCACAAAUAUGAAAGUACAUAGAGUCCAAUUGGCCGUUGUGUUUAAUGGGAAUGUCCAAUACAUUACGUUCUGCCGAGAAUCCAAUAAGAAGUUGUGCAGGCUGCUGUGACGCUUAAAGCUCUCGACGAAACGAAAUGCAAAGAACAUUAAAUGCGACGAAAACUCGCAAAAAUUCAAGCCAUAAAAAGCACUUUACAAUGCACAGUUCUGUGUAAAUGUAUGAAUAAAUACACAUACAUAUACAUAUACAAAUAUAUAUAUGUGUGUAUGCACAUAUGUAUUUUUGUUAUUUUGCUUUGACCACAUUUGGCAACAGGCAGAACGUAGCACGUUAAGCCUCAGCACACACACUCGCACACACACACGCACGCACACCAAGAACUCCAGCAGCAGCAACAACAAAAACACCAACUCACGCUCACUCACGCACGCACUUGCAAUUGUGUUGUGAUUGAUUGUAGCAAUAAAUUAACAAAAAUAAUAUCUUACAAUUGGUAGUGGAUUCAAAA